AAGCUCUCAAAUAGCAGAAACAGCUUCUUGAAGUGGGUGAAGGAGAACGACCAGAAGAAAGAGAAGCCAAAGAGAAGGGCACCUGGGUACAGUUGAUGUGCCAGCCUGCACCACCUAUAGAAGCACACUUUGUGAGGACCAACAGAAAAGAGCCUGAGCUGUUGGAGCCCAUUCCAUAUGAAUUCAUGGCCUAAUAAACAAAAACGAAAAAAGGACCCAGACUCCAAAGUGUUUUCCUUAAAAAAAAAUAAUAAUGCUUGUCAGACAUUAAUACUUUUUCCUUUGGAAAAUAUUGGUUCAUGUUUGUAGCUACUUUUUUGUUUGGGUUGUUUGAUUUGUUUAUUAUUUGUUCAGUAUUUAUUUAUUUAUUUAGGGUUUUUUUUUUUGAGACAGAAUUUGUGUAUUUUCUUUCUAGUACUAGCUGUUCUUGAACUUGUUCUGUAGAUGAGGCUGGACUUAAACUUAGGGAUCCACCUGUCUCUGCUCAAGUGAUGGCAUUAAAGGUUUGUGCUAUAUCUAUCGUUGCAGAAACUUGAUGUGCCAGGGUGGAAGGAGACACAAGUGGCCUCUAUUCUCUCAGAGGAAAGGGCUAAAGGGGACAGAUUAUCAGCGGUGAACUGCCAGGAGGGGAGGCAGUAAUAUGGAUACAAAGUGAAUAAAUAUAUUAAUUAAUAGAAAAAUUACAGAUGAACUGCUCUCAGAAAAACAAACAAACUGAAACAAUAACAAAAAACAAAAAAGCAAAGCUACCCAUACACAUAAUUAAAAAUAAAUUUUAAAACAUCUUUAAAAACAUUUCUUAAGUAAACUAGCCUGUUGUUAUAACUCGUUCCCUUGCUAUACUCCAUCAUGUCUUUCAGUGGUUUAUUAAAUUUUACAUAAUGAGAUGCUCAUUUUACAAAUUAAGGUUGCCCAAUUUAUGCUGCCAAUUCUUUGCUUUAAUUUUAAUUUUAAAUUAUAUUUUAAAAUUUAAAUUAAGCUUUUGAUUGAAAAAAAAAAACCUUACAUAACUUUAGCCCCAUCUUUAUUCCUUCCAGUCUCUUCUGACUAGGUUCCCCUGAUCACUUCCCACGUGUCCCCAACACUUAUGUUGCUAACCUCCUUUUCUUGCUGUUAUUUUGUGUUGCACACAUGUGCGUAAAAAUAUAUAAAUACAAAUUCCUGAUUCCACUAGUUUUAAGGCUGACCAUGUUCAUCCAAAGAAGGGACCAAUGCCAUUUUGCUAGAGUCAUUACUUUCCUAUACUUCUUUGUCUAAAGGUAGAACCCUGUAAUCCCACAUUGGAUGUUGUAGGCAUUCAUACCUAUAAAUAUGUUAUAACUGCCUUUGCUUUAAAUUCUGUGUUCUGAUAGUUUCAAUACUAAGAACUUUUAGUUUUAUAUAUUGUUUGAUUUUAUAAUCAUUUAAAAGGAAAUAACUCAAUCCCCAUGGGUUUUUACAACUUCUAUCUGUGUAUGUCAUUGUGAUAAGGGUCUCUUAUAGUAUCAAAUUACUUUUAAUUGGAUAUUUCUUCUAUAUUUUUAAUGUAUUUCAAUAUAGUAUAUAUAAAGAGGGGUACAAUGAUUCAGAUUAACAUUUCAUACCUGGAACAUUUAUCAUCUUUUAUGGUGAAAACAAAAUUAUAUUUGAUAGAUAUUUUAACAUAUAGAAUACUUCAUUGAACUCAUGCUUGAAUUGAUUGAAAUUUAGUUCAGAAACUUUUCCACAUCCUUCUCUCACCCAUAAUGUUCCCAUGGAAACCAACAUCAUUGUAUAAACCUUUGUGAUAUCAACUUCCUAUAGAUGAAAUAUAAUUGAAAUCAAAUAGUAUUUGAUUUCCUCUUCUUAGCUAAAUUCAAUAAUAUACCAUAUUUGUCUACAGUU
rnacentral:lncRNA from 1 species